rfam:Triticum aestivum genome assembly, contig: Triticum_aestivum_CS42_TGACv1_scaffold_131954_2BL
AGAGUACUCCCUCCGUCCGGAAAUACUUGUCAUUGAAAUGAAUGUAUCUAGAUAUAUUUUAGUUUCUGAUACAUCCAUUUUGAUGACAAGUAAUUUCGGACGGAGGGAGUAGUCA